UACGGAGGGGGCAAGCGUUAUCCGGAUUUAUUGGGUUUAAAGGGUGCGUAGGCGGUCCGUUAAGUCAGCGGUAAAAUUGCGGGGCUCAACCCCGUCGUGCCGUUGAAACUGGCGUUCUUGAGUGAGCGAGAAGUAUGCGGAAUGCGUGGUGUAGCGGUGAAAUGCAUAGAUAUCACGCAGAACUCCGAUUGCGAAGGCAGCUUACUAAGCCAUAACUGACACUGAAGCACGAAAGCGUGGGGAUCAAACAGG
rnacentral:rRNA from 1 species